rnacentral:rRNA from 1 species
CAGUAGCCACGGUAAUACAGAGGGUGCGAGCGUUAAUCGGAAUUACUGGGCGUAAAGCGUGCGCAGGCGGUUAUAUAAGACAGAUGUGAAAUCCCCGGGCUCAACCUGGGAACUGCAUUUGUGACUGUAUAGCUAGAGUACGGCAGAGGGGGAUGGAAUUCCGCGUGUAGCAGUGAAAUGCGUAGAUAUGCGGAGGAACACCGAUGGCGAAGGCAAUCCCCUGGGCCUGUACUGACGCUCAUGCACGAAAGCGUGGGGAGCAAACAGGAUUAGAUACCCCUGUAGUCCCUGUCUCUUAUAC